rnacentral:rRNA from 1 species
GGAAAACUCACCUGGCCCGGACACCGUUAGGAUUGACAGAUUGAGAGCUCUUUCUCGAUUCGGUGGGUGGUGGUGCAUGGCCGUUCUUAGUUGGUGGAGCGAUUUGUCUGGUUAAUUCCGAUAACGAACGAGACUCUGACCUGCUAACUAGUCCGUCGAUUUACCCGAUUCGUUCGGUCGACGCCGACUUCUUAGAGGGACAAGUGGCGUACAGCCACGCGAGAUUGAGCAAUAA